AGCAUUUUUCACCAAACAGAACGAGUCUUUUGACUCGGCCUCCUCCCUUCGCGACUCAACAACGGCGCGCCAACCCGACGAUCUUCCUCCGCCGUCGUCGCCGAUCUGACCAAUGCAGAACCUCCGUCUGGAACUCCUCGGCGUCGGCUGCAUCUUCACAGCUCCAGUUUUUCCGAUCAGCUGCAGUGGAAGGAGAAAUCACAGUGAACGGUAAUCGGCCUCCCUGGCUUCUCUUGGCUCGAUUCUUGUCUUCUUGGCGUUUGUGAUUGAUGAAGGAGAAGUCAGCAGCGAGUUCUUGCCUAUCUGUGUUCAUUGAGGAAACUUCUGCUAAUUUGGAUUCAAAUAAACGUGAAGCCGGUUUGAAGGAACUGAGGACUGCCAGUUUGGAGAUAUCAAUUCUUUGUUGAGGCUAAAUUGUAGAAAGGAGCAAUUCUGCCUUUCAAGGUAAAUUGCAGCCUUGAAUUCCAGUGAAUUUAAUUGUAUGGCUGCUGUGAUUAUUGUUCUUGUAUUGGGAAUUCCCUAUGUACUGUGAAGUUUGGUUGUGUCUCUGUAAUUGGAUUUAGUACCAUAUUAUGAAUUAGUUCAGUUCCUCGAAUUGAUUGAACUGAAACUAUGAGUUGAUUUCAGUU